CCUACGGGGGGCAGCAGUGGGGAAUAUUGGACAAUGGGCGAAAGCCUGAUCCAGCCAUGCCGCGUGUGUGAAGAAGGCCUUCGGGUUGUAAAGCACUUUCAGUGGGGAAGAAAGCCUUGGGGCUAAUACCCUCGAGGAAGGACAUCACCCACAGAAGAAGCACCGGCUAACUCCGUGCCAGCAGCCGCGGUAAUACGGAGGGUGCGAGCGUUAAUCGGAAUUACUGGGCGUAAAGCGCGCGUAGGCGGUCUGAUAAGCCGGUUGUGAAAGCCCGGGGCUCAACCUGGGAACGGCAUCCGGAACUGUCAGGCUAGAGUGCAGGAGAGGAAGGUAGAAUUCCCGGUGUAGCGGUGAAAUGCGUAGAGAUCGGGAGGAAUACCAGUGGCGAAGGCGGCCUUCUGGACUGACACUGACGCUGAGGUGCGAAAGCGUGGGUAGCAAACAGGAUUAGAUACCCGAGUAGUC
rnacentral:rRNA from 1 species